GCGCCGGCCCGGCCGUCAGUCGCACACGCACAGCCGGCUGCCCAGCCCACUGUCCCGCACAGGCCCGGCCGCAGCAGUUCCCUCAAGCCCGCUUCCGGAGCGCCGCCCGCGCAGCGACCGGGAGGAGAGCAGCCACUCCCUAGACUCACCCCUGCAAUCUAGCUGCCCCUGUCACGGAACACCGCCCAAACUAAAGACACCUGCGGUCACAGUGGAGCCUGUCUGACGGAUGUUGAGCCAGGCAGAGCCAGACAGAGCAGGACAACGUACUGCACGUCAGAGAUUCUACAGGCACCAGGUACAGAGUGGAAGAGGACGGAAAUGGAAACACUUGCAAGAUGUCUGUAUAAUGGGAAUCCUGGGUGGAAAAGCAGAACAAACCAAGAUGAGUAUAUAAAGAUGUGAAUGAGCUCAGGACAGUCUUUUCAGUAGCUGGAGCAUGUGUUACUGUGGCUUUCAAAAGUUCUGAUCCUUUCAAUGACCUAGGAGACCAGAAGUAGUGUAACGCUGGCUAUGACCACAAGCAGACCAAUCCAAGUUUCUAGAAAGGGGGCAAGGACAGGGUACAUCAAAGGGACACAUUUCAGCUGUGCUCUUUUUUACCCUUGACAACCAAAUUUUUUAAAUUGUCAAAAAUCUGUAAGUCACAUCAUGCUUGAGUUAAAUUUUUUGAAGGAGCAGAGAUGGAGUAGAAAGGUGUAACAGUAUUACAUGGGAGAAGUGAAUGAGCAAAAUACAGAUACAAGAGCAAGCAAAGAAUCUCAGGAGAAAUCCCUAGAGGCUGAGCAGAAAGGUGUACAGCAGAGCCCCAUGAUGGUGGCAGCCUCCCAUAAACUGGACCUAAAGUCCCCCAUGAAGUAAAACCACCAGUUACCACCCUUCACCCUCUAUGACAAAAUCUUACGCUUCACAGACCUUUGUCAGAUCAGGUCAAUGAAUUCAUGCUUUAAUCAUCACUGUACUCCAAACAUGUAGCAAUGAAAGUGCUUCAUGCAAGAAGGGGCAACCUGAAGCCAGGGGCUGUGUUAGCGUGGGCUGAGCUGGGUUAGAAGACUCGCUGUAAGACAGGAGGAAUGAGCAGAGAAGUGGAGAGCAAAGAGGAGGAAAAGGGAAUGAUACACAGACAAAAACUACUUCCCAUUCAAAAGGGUUUACAAACAAAUUCCAAAAUAUAUGAGGAAAAUGGGUUAGAAGAACUGCCAACAAAAUAAUUAGUACAUGAAUUCACUUCAGGUAAUAUUUUAAAGAACAAAGACUUUCAAGAGAAAAAAAAUAUAACAUCUACUAAA